UUUUAUCAAGGAAGAAGAACUGACGGUACUUGAUGAAUAAGCCACGGCUAAUUCCGUGCCAGCAGCCGCGGUAAUACGGGAGUGGCAAGCGUUAUCCGGAAUUAUUGGGCGUAAAGCGUCCGCAGGCGGUUUUACAAGUCUGUCGUUAAAGCGUGGAGCUCAACUCCAUUUCAGCGAUGGAAACUGUAAGACUCGAGUGUGGUAGGGGCAGAGGGAAUUCCCGGUGUAGCGGUGAAAUGCGUAGAUAUCGGGAAGAACACCAGUGGCGAAAGCGCUCUGCUGGGCCAUAACUGACGCUCAUGGACGAAAGCCAGGGGAGCGAAAGGGAUUAGAUACCCCUGUAGUCCUGGCCGUAAACGAUGAACACUAGGUGUCGGGGGAAUCGACCCCCUCGGUGUCGUAGCCAACGCGUUAAGUGUUCCGCCUGGGGAGUACGCACGCAAGUGUGAAACUCAAAGGAAUUGACGGGGGCCCGCACAAGCGGUGGAGUAUGUGGUUUAAUUCGAUGCAACGCGAAGAACCUUACCAGGGCUUGACAUCCUGCGAAUCCCUUGGAAACGAGGGAGUGCCUUCGGGAGCGCAGAGACAGGUGGUGCAUGGCUGUCGUCAGCUCGUGUCGUGAGAUGUUGGGUUAAGUCCCGCAACGAGCGCAACCCACGUCUUUAGUUGCCAGCAUUUAGUUGGGCACUCUAGAGAGACCGCCGGUGACAAACCGGAGGAAGGUGUGGAUGACGUCAAGUCAUCAUGCCCCUUACGUCCUGGGCUACACACGUACUACAAUGCUACGGACAAAGAGCAGCAAACUCGCGAGGGCAAGCAAAUCUCAUAAACCGUGGCUCAGUUCAGAUCGUAGGCUGCAACUCGCCUACGUGAAGGAGGAAUCGCUAGUAAUCGCAGGUCAGCAUACUGCGGUGAAUACGUUCCCGGGCCUUGUACACACCGCCCGUCACACCAUGG
rnacentral:rRNA from 1 species